rnacentral:tRNA from 1 species
UUAAUUGAAACCAAACUAGAGGUAAAUCACUGUUAAUGAUAAAAUUGAGAAUUCUCCAAUUAAG